rnacentral:rRNA from 1 species
UACGAGGGGUGCAAGCGUUGCUCGGAAUUAUUGGGCGUAAAGGGUAGGUAGGUGGUCUCAUUUGUCCGGGGUGAAAGCCUUGAGCUUAACUCAAGAAGUGCCCCGGAAACGGUGAGACUCGAGUACUGGAGAGGGUCGUGGAAUUCCCGGUGUAGCGGUGAAAUGCGUAGAGAUCGGGAGGAACAUCCGUGGCGAAGGCGACUACCUGGACCAGCACUGACACUGAGGCACGAAAGCGUGGGGAGCAAACAGG